GUGCAUUUUAGUGUUUUUCUUGGGUUCGGUAGUUCCAGUGGUCAUGUGAUUUCUGCAAACCUAGUUUGAUGAUUUGUAUUAACCCCUUAAGGACACAUGACGGAAAUAUACUAUGUAGAAUAUAUGUGGUAAUUCUAAGAAAGAAACUUGUAAAAUAACACUGUCUAAUGUUCUAUAAUGUCACUCAUAUACAAACACACAAAUUCUAGAAUUACAAGCCUAAAUAGGUUUUGUUUGUGUUUGUAAUUAAAGGUUAGACUAUAUAAAAUGUAGGUUAUUUCAU